rnacentral:lncRNA from 1 species
CUUUAUUCCAUUUGAGAGUAAUUAGCUUUCCUGCUGUACUUGUACAAUUUUUUAUGCAAAUCUAUGUCAUAUUAUGGACUUAGUUAUAGUUCAUUUACUUAUAGUGCUUGACUGAGUUUUGAACUACACGAUAGCUAUAUAACUUUGUAUUGCACUAUUAAUUCAGACCAGAAGCAACAUAUUUUCCCAAGAUAUGUGAUGUAGCAUAGGUACCGGAUGGCUUUGAUGUUUAAAAGUUAAUUUUGGUCAAAAUUUGAUGGCCAGCUUCAAGAGGGAACCUUUGCUGUGUGUCCUGAAUCAUGAGUAUUUCAUAUUUCCUUGUGUUGAGUGUGAGAUCGGAAGCUUGGGGAAGUACAGUAACAACCUCAAGAAGGCAGCCCAGAGAAGUGAUGUUGCCUAGAUACUGCUGUUAGAAAAACAAAAUGUAAUUAAGCUAGUAUGUUGCAUAUUCAGACUGGACUAUGAUUCCUUCCUUAUCUCUCCUUUUUAUGAUAUAUCCAGGACUAUGGAUAAUAUGUUUUUUCCAGUGAAAACUAGCCUGUUAUAUUUUGUAGUCUUUGUUGUCGUUAUUAUGAUUUUAAUUGGUAAUGUUAUUUUCCCUCUUUGUCUUUCACCCUUCAAUCAAUGCUUUAGGUUUGGUUCUAAACAUGACUUAGCAAUUAUGCUGUGAGGUAUAAUUGGUACUAGGCUGUCAUAUUGUAUUUUUAUUGCCAGCUAGUGACUUUACGCUGUAGCGCUAUUUGUGCCUCUCUCUCUCUCUCUCUCUCUCUCUCUCUGACUUUUCGGUGGUUUAGAUUCAGUUUCAAGCAUAGUUUCACCAUUAUAAUCUAAAGUAUACAGAUCAUUGAAGAUGAUGUUAAAGCAGAUGAAUUAUGUACAAGGAGGGAAUAUGCAAGAUGGUUAGUUAAAACAAACACACAACUGGAAAGGUAGUUUUGGUCAACAACAUUUAUUUGUGCAGUUCUUUUGUUAGAAGAAGAUGAAAAAUUCGAGUACCACUGACUAGUUUUUCUGACCAUUUUCUUUUUGACUUCUAGGAGUAGAAAGCAUCGGAUAGUUCCAUCAGUUGUGCUUUCUGGUUCCACAAUUGCUGCCUUUGAUGAUGUGAGUGUUGAUGACCCUGAUUUUGCGACCAUUCAAUGUAAGCUUGACGUGUUGUUACCCAACCAUAGUAUAUAUCAUCAUUGAAAGAGCUCAGUUGAUCCUUAAAAUUUUGUUAUGCAGCCCUAGCUGAGGCUGGUAUUAUUCCUAGCAAGCUGUCAGAUAGGGAGUUUGCUUCCACUUCAAAUGUUUCAGAAGAUCAGGGCGUCUGUUUUCUCCCGGACAGGUACUAGGAUGUUCAUCUCCCCCGCCUGUCCCUUCAUUUCAUUUCUCCCUUUGUUAUCUUUGUCUAUAGUUCUACUUGCGUUAAUGCCUGUUUUGCUUUUUCAGAUUUUUGUCUCGCCAAGAUUUAAUCAGUUGGAAAGCCAAAAUAGAGUAUGAAGUCAUGCCAGGGAUAGAUAAAGAGGUAGGGGAAAAGCCACACUCCAGCGCUUGAUUCAACUUUACUGAGAUUUUGAUGUCCUUUAUCUGCCUGAAUUAUCUGACUCUGUUUACAGUUCAGAUAUCAAGGAAGAACAUCGGUUUUCUGGAUGUAAGAGACAUCAAUUCUGAAGCUUUGGUGGAACUUUUUGUGGAUUUACGGGCUGGCGAACAGAGCAUUCUUCGGAGAGUUUUUGGUCUCUUUCUUUCUCUGAUUUGGCACUACUGCACAAAGAAUUAGAUAUAUAAGAUGCACACGGCAAAAAUGUCACCACUUCCAUGUCACCCAUGCAUUCUUUGACAUGAUCAAACAUCUUUCUAGAUUAUCUAAUUCACUCAAAUCAUUUGGGACGGGGAGAAAAAUGAAAAGAUAUAGGUGGAAUUUAAUGCAUGCCAGACAGUUUUAAGUAAACGGAAGCUAUGAAUUAAGAAGUUUGUUGAUCGCCUACGUAUGAUCAUUUACAGGACAGGCAAAACGAUUCCAGCCUGAUAAACCAUCCACGAAGGCUCAGGCAGCUGUUUCACUGACAAGCGGGAGAAUGGAAGAAUAUAUACAAAGUGAACUGUCAAAACUUGAAGCAGAAAAUUUAUCGAGACUAAUGGAAAUGGAAGAAAUCAAGUCGGACCUACUUGAUAGAGGAGAAAUACAGAGGAUUUGGGAGAGUAAAAUGGAAGCAGAAAGAAGUCGUGGUUUGGAGGUAGAGAGUGAUUAUCUGGCUUCUGUUAGAGAUCUAGAACAGGAAAAGAUUGUACAAGAGAAUGCUCGAGCUGAACUUCUGAGGCAGAAGGCAGCUCUAGACUGUCAGAAGCAGCUGCUUUCUAGUCUUAAGGAAGAGGUCGAUGAGAUGUCCGAAAGGCUUGCACGUGAGAAGUUUGAGCAUGUGAAUGAGCAGUGUGAUUUAAGUGGUACAAUUCAUGAUUUGCAGGUUAAGCAUGAAGCCGUGCUUGACACAAAAUCUAUGUUGGAAGCUGAGAUUGAGGCUUUGCGAAAACUGAGGUACAAAUAUUUGUUAACUGUGGCUUUUAUUUACUUCUUUCUUUUUUUUUUGGGGGAAAAUGGCAACAUCUGUUAACUUUGUCUUGUUAAAUACUUCAAUAGGGAAUGGAGUUUCAACAUGUAGAUUUUAAGUGAAUAUUAAAUAGCACUUAAGAAGUUUGACUAAUCUGGCUAAGGCAUACAUCUUCUGCAUAGUGCAUAAAAGUUUACUUAUUUGUUAAGAAGUUGAUGAAGCAGCUUAAACCAAGGGCAUCUUCUACUGACAAACAAGAUAAUUGUACUCCGGAAAGAUUUUUUGAUGAAUUACUCUGGGAACAUAGUUAGAGAGAUUGUCUGAAAGUAGAUUAAGAUUUAAAUGAAAGAUCAUUUUUCUUGUGCCACUUCAUUCAGAAAAUUAAGGAUGGUGUUGGCAGAGAGGUUGAUAACUUAUUAGCACUUGUGGUUUGUAAUUGACAUGAAAUUAUGCAAUGAAAACCAAAAACUUAGUACUUCCUUUGUGAGUUGGCCUGGGAGGGAAUGGAGGCAUAAAGGGUGGGGUGGCACUGUACAAAAGAGCAAAAAAUACUUGUCUCAUGAUAGGGGAAUUGUCUUUUCCCUUCUAGACUAAGUUACCCCUUGGAUGCAAGAUUAUUACAGAACUAUUAGAAUAUGCAGAAUCAUUGCUAAGGAUAUACUUCUGCUUGUUUUGGACUGUUAAUAUGGCUCCAAGCACAGCCUUUCUGCUGAAACCUGUUACCUUUCUCGAAAAAAGAUUAAUUACAUAGGUGAAGGGUUUCGCAGGAUUCAGCCGAAUUGCUAAGUCCAUUAAAAAGAUAUUAGACGUUCUAAAGAGACUCGAACAGACGGAGUGCUGUUCUCUGAAUCACGAAUAUGCUAAUCGCGGGUAUGUUUAUCUUUGAUUUUUUACUCCUUUAGGGGAGUAAUCUUGAGAUGAGGAUAGUGGCAAGGAUGCAACGGUUAUAUAUUCUUGCUAGAACUGAUGCAUACUGCAUACGUAAUUUACACUAGUUUCCAUGUUUUCACAUUGAACUUCCAUUGGAUUGUUUGAUUAAAUUCUUUAGUCAAGCUUGAUAUUGUGAAGUUCAGGCCACUCUUGGUGACGGAGAACUAAUUCUAUCGAUCUGAUGGUGCAGUUUCUAUUCCAGUUUACACUUAUUUAUCAGCCUGAAGAUAUAGAAAUUUUUACUCCGGAUAGUGUUUAGGUGGUAGUUGACAAUGCAUGUUUUCUUUUGAAACAGAUCAUGGGUUGAGGAUGAAGCGAGGAGAAGUCAAGCUCGCGCGAAAGUCCUUGAGGAGGUUGAACGAAGGUGGAAAUGGGAGGAUCAAUAGGAGGGAGGGGUCCCUAUAAGUUAAAUAAUCCAGUUGUUUUGAUGUACAUUUUGUCAUUGUCAUCAUCAACUUUCCUCUUUAAAUAUUUUCUUGGUACCAUUUUGUAAACUAUUCAAAGAGGAGUUGAUCUCUUCUCUAUGUUUCAACUAAUUUUUAUGGAUGGUACUUCUUGAUCUCUAUCACUAGCAGAAAGAAAUUUCAAGAAGCUGAUGAGUAACUUUUUGUUGUAUUUUGAAGAAUGAAUUUGUUUUUAUCUUCCCUAACAUAAGGGUAAUUUUUUAUUUCUUUUACCCUUGUUGUUGAGGGUCUAUCGGAAACAGACUCUCUGCCUGGUAGGGGUAAGGCCUUUGUAUGUUGUUCUUAGUGAUCAAAUUCCAAUCUAAUUUCAGGGACCUAAUAGCUUUACAUCCAAAUAUUUUUGAUUUCCUAUUUAGUGUUCAUUAUUCGCAUUAAAGUCUCGACUAAUUUGAAUUUGUACACGUGAAAUACACUUAGGGGAAAAAGUGGUUGUUAAUAUAAUUUUUUCGUGCUUAGAUCGAUUCAAGACUCUAGUUAAGGAUGGAAGAAUCUUAUCUCUCCCGAGAGACCCUUUAUUGGUAGAUCAUAUAGUCAUCCAUUUUGAAAUUCCGACUAAUUUGAAUAUGUACCAUAUAAAAGCCCAUUUAAGAGGGCUACACCCAAGUUUGUUGGUGAAGAGUUUUUUGAUUUUCUCACUGAGACAGUUUUUUCUUUUUUGGGGGGUUUCAUCCAAUAUCCGGUACCCGCAUUGGAGCUCGACUAAUUCGAAUUCGCGCUGGAUAGGGCCUCAUUCGGGGGUAGCGGUCCUUACCAAGGAUUUUUCCAUACUCAAGGCUCGAACCUGAGACCUCUGGUUAAAGGAGGAGCAACUCAAUCCACUGCGCCAUAUCCAAAUGAAACAGAAGAGACAAAAAAAGCUAUAUAAUUUAGGCCAAAAAGGGACUUGUGUUGGGCAAUAUUUGUCAAAUUGUUCAAAGUUAUCACUAAUCUUUCUUUUAUAGGCUAAUAUAGUCCAUACAUAAGAAUCCAUACAAGCUAAGGCAGAAAUUAUUGUCAAAUUUUGCUCUUUUUUGCAUUACCUCAACUGUAUUGGUAGGCUAACAGCUCAACAUUUGGACCCCAUCUUUUAAUAUCACUAAUCAAGAAAUUAUGUUAAUCUUGAUUUAGAGAUUUAAAUUAAUAUAGUAUAUUCAAUUAGUUGGCUACAAUGAACUAAUUAUUGGACAUAACAGGCAAGAUACACUAAUUAGGUGCAUAUAUUUGUUGACCAAUCCAAGAAGUCCAAUUCUCCAAGGUUGAGAUAAAAUAAGUAAUAAAGCUUUAGUUACAUAUUAUUAUUUAACUAGAUAAUAUAUUGAGUUCCUUCAAUAGUUAAAAACUUACCAUCAAAGUUUGUGGUGAAAUAGUAAGUAUUCGAGGUCUUGCGUUAGAGCUAGAGCUUUCAGUAUGAAGUCACCUUUGGUAGGAAGCGCUUUACCUUCAACAUGAAACUUUCCGAUACAAAUCUAAAUUAAUUAGACCCCAAAGUGGGUACCAAACAACAACAACAACAUACCCAGUGUAUUCCACAAAGUAUAGUCUGGAGAAGGCUAAGUGUACACAGUCCAUAUAACAACCUCAUAAAUGAGAUAGAGAUAUUAUUUUCGAUAAAUUCUCACUCAAAAAAAGUAGAUACCAAAGACCGACUAAAUUUUUUAAAAAAAUAAUAGUAGAAAAGAAUAUGGUGAAAAAUUGACUCUUGUGGUCUGUAAUCUGAGUUCCACCUGCAUAAUUGGAGAGCCAUAAAUACCUUUAUUAGCUGGACAAUGUCAAAGUUUAAUUGGACAACAUUCAUGCAUUAGAGACAAAUUUUUACUCCAAUUCUUUACCUUUAAAGUUUUUAACUAAAUUUCAUAGUUACUAUUUUCUUUACCUCUAUGUUUCUCUGCUUAAAUAUCUAACUGAUUCGAACCCAUAACAAACAUAUAUAACCUCAUUUCAUCUCAUUUAUCGAACAUAUUUGAGUCAGACUAAAUUCACGUUCGCAUUGAAAUAUCUCAUAAGGGAGAUAAAAGGUUCCUUAACAAAAGUGAAUUUUAUAUCAAAGGGCUUGACAAGCUCUAUUAUUAUCAGACAUCAUAUUGGAGUCAAACCAAAUCUGAUUUCGCACUGAAAAAUCUCACAGACUGAUAAACCGCUCGACACUACCUAACAAACACGACUUUAUAUGUAGGGCUUAAAGGCUUUUGAAUAAAAGUACUUAUCACUCCACGAUAGUCAUCCAACGUGGUAACUAUAUAUAUAUAUAUGGGGAGAGAAAAAGUCAGAGAAAGAGAGAGACCUUGAGUGAGAAUGCAGAAAUAUUGGCUAGCAGCUGUUCCCAAGUUCAUAUUUUUACUGUACUCCCAAGUCCCUUUCAGCUUAAAUAUUCCUCAAAUAUACAAUUUAUACAACUUCUAGUCCCACCCCAUAAAUCCAAAAAAUGUCAAUCUUCUUUGGCCAAAAACUGUCCACUCAACAAACUAGUGGUUCCUAUGUGUAUGUUUUUGACAGUUUUUGUAUUAAAAAAACAAACUUUUUCCCAUUCUUGAUAAGAUAAUAAUACUUGCCCUUCAAGAAUUGCACUAUUUUUGCUUCAAAAAGUGAUUUUUAGACUAUUUUGAGUUGUGGGGUGUUCUUGUUUUUUCCCAUUUUUGAUGAGGUUAUGGAGUGAUUUUUGAGCUAUGGGGUUUUAUAAAAAAUGGGUUGGGAUUAUUUUGUGUUGUUAAAUGGGCUGAAGUUUGAAAUUUUUGACAUUGAAAAGAUACCUACAUGAUUGUUAGGGUAGGUUUAGUGGUUGCUGCUUCUAUAGCUGCUUAUGCAGUUAAGCAGAUUAAUGUAAAACCUCCAAAGUCAUCAUCCAAGAAAUCAGGUAAUUUUCUUGGUCAGUUGUGUGUUUGAGUUUCUUGAGUCGAGGGUCUAUCGGAUAUAGUCUUUCUACCUCGUUGGUAGGGUUAAGGUCUGCGUAGACACUAUCGUUUCCAGACCUCAUUUGUGGGAUUAUAUGUUGUUGUUGUUGUUGUUGUGUAUUGAAUUUCUUGAGUUGAGGGCUAUUGAAAACAGUCUUUCUACCUGACAAGGUAGGAGUAAGGUCUACAUACAUACUGCCUUUCCGGACCCCAUUUAUGGGAUUACACUGGAUAUGUUCUUGUUGUUCUUGUAGUUGUAUAUUGGAUUUCUUGAGUCGAGGGUCUAUCGGAAACAAUCUCUCUACCUCCCAAGGUAGGUGUAGGGGUAAGGUCUGCAUACACACUGCCCUUCCCAGACCUGACCCCACCUGUGGGACAUUGGGUAUUGUUGUUGUUGUUAUUGAAGGGGAGUCUUGUAUUAACUGUUAAAGUUGUCAUAUAACUAGGAGGUCAUGAUUUCAAGUUGAGGAAUCAGCCUCUCGCAUAAAUGUAAGUUAAGGCUGCGUAUAAUAAACCUUUGUGGUUCGGCCCUUCCCCGGAUGCGCACAUAGUGGGAGAUUUAGUACACCAAGAUGCCCUUUUAUGUUGUUGUUGUUGUUGUAUAUUGAAUUUGCAAUGUAUGAUUGGUUUUCGAUAUUGAUACAGUGUAAAGAUUCAAUUUUUAACGGAAUAAUUCAUCCAAAUGAGUGAUCAGAGAUUGUUCUUUUGUGCCUAAUUGAUUUUUAUGUUUUCUUAUGUAUUUGGUUAUUAGGAAAUGGUGAAGAAUUGCCUGAACAACGAGGCUAUGGAGGUGAUGAGAAGGAACAGCUCGUGUAUUCGACGGAUGGCCUCAAAGAAGUGGUUGUAAGUAUAGAGAAAUUUGUGUACUCUUUGUUUGGUUAAUAGUGUUGAUAUCUCCUUUAGCAACAAUUUGAUACUGAGUUAUAGUGUUUGUUUCAAUAUUUUUUGGAUGUUAUAGUGAAAUGGUGUUAGAGAGAAUAUAAUAUAACAUAACAUGAAAGAUUGGUUCCGCAGAAAGUAUGACUGAUAUGGUGAAAUGUUGUUAUAGAAAGGUCUGACUGUUUUUGGAUUUUGUUUCGUUUGGUGACUUGUAGGAUGAGGAAGAAGAGAAAGAAGAAGUUAAAUUAAUCAAUGGAAUUAUAAAUCCAGCACAGGGUAACCAGCUUGAUCUUGAUGAUGAUCUUUUCCCUGAAUUCGAAGAUCUUUUAUCCGGGGAGAUUGAAUUUCCGUUACCAAGUGACAAGUAUGAUACAGGAAGAGAAGAGAGAGAGAAGGUUUACCAAACUGAGAUGGCCAACAACGCUAAUGAACUUGAAAGAUUGCGAAACCUUGUUAAGGAACUCGAGGAAAGGGAGGUGAAGCUUGAAGGGGAGUUGCUUGAGUAUUAUGGUUUGAAGGAACAAGAAUCAGAUAUUCUCGAGUUACAAAAGCAGCUCAAAAUUAAGACUGUUGAGAUUGACAUGCUCAACAUCACGAUAAACACGUUACAGGCCGAGAAACAAAAGCUUCAAGAGGAGCUUUUUCAUGGAGCUACUGCUAGGAAAGAUCUAGAAGCUGCUAGAAGCAAGAUUAAGGAGCUGCAAAGGCAGAUGCAACUCGAAGCUAACCAAACGAAAGCUCAGCUGUUGUUGCUAAAACAACAUGUUACUGGACUUCAAGAAAAGGAAGAGGAAGCUUUCAAGAGAGAUUCCGAGGUUGACAAGAAACUUAAACUUGUGAAGGAGUUGGAAGUGGAGGUUAUGGAGCUUAAGAGGAAGAACAAAGAACUUCAGCAUGAAAAGAGAGAGUUGGUUAUUAAAUUGGAUGCUGCUGAAUCUAAAAUAGCAAAGCUUUCUAAUAUGACAGAGGUAAAUUAUAACUCUUGAUACCACUAUUUUCAUGUAAACUGAUCAAGUUUAGGACAAUAGCCAUAUUCUGAUAUCUUGUUAUUAUCAUAAUUGUGAUGGUAGAUAUGCUUUUGCUGUUUCUCAUGCUCUUUAAUUCCUUCUAGUUUGACCAAUGGCGGAGCUAAGAUAUUGAAUUUAUGGGUUCGAAAUCUAGAAAAGAUAGUUUACUGGGUUCUGGAUAAAGUAUUUAUACAUAUUAAGUAAAUUUUGAAAAACAAAUGCAAUGUUUGGACCAAAGCUAUUAGGUUCUUGCCGAGCCUAUAGACAGGCUUAUAGCUCCAUCCCAAAUUUUGAUAGUUGUUUUUUGCUCGCACCACUGAAUAAUUGGAGAUUCUCAGCUUCUAAUGAGAAUGAUUGUGUGAUGUUUUUGGUUAGUGUGUGAACUGAUGGUAUGUAAAUUCCUGACCUUUUUUUGGCAUGCUGCUGCAGAAUGAACUGGUUGCUCAGGUGAGGGAAGAAGUAACUAAUUUGAAGCAUACAAAUGAAGAUCUUCUAAAACAAGUAGAAGGACUUCAAAUGAACAGAUUCAGUGAAGUUGAAGAGCUAGUGUAUCUUCGUUGGGUCAAUGCAUGCUUAAGAUUUGAACUUCGGAACUACCAAACACCUCAAGGAAAAGUAUCGGCUCGUGACCUCAGUAAAAGUCUGAGCCCAAGAUCUCAGCAGAAGGCCAAACAGUUGAUGUUAGAAUACGCAGGAUCAGAACGUGGGCAAGGAGAUACAGAUCUUGAAAGCAAUUUUUCUCAGCCAUCUUCUCCCGGUAGUGAAGACUUUGAUAAUGCUUCUAUCGACAGUUCCACUAGCAGAUUUAGUAGUUUCAGUAAAAAGCCCAACUUAAUCCAGAAGUUGAAGAAAUGGGGCAGCAGAGGUGGUAAAGACGAUUCUAGUGUUAUGUCUUCACCAGCAAGAUCUCUUGGGGGAGCAUCUCCGGGUAGGAUGAGUAUGAGCGUUAGACCAAGGGGUCCACUUGAAUCGCUAAUGCUUAGGAAUGCGGGUGACGGUGUAGCCAUCACUACUUUUGGAACAGCUGAGGAAUAUGAUUCCCCGGAAACACCAAAGCUUCCAUCUAUUAGGACACGAGAAUCUUCUGCUGAGGCACUGAAUUCAGUUGCAUCAUCAUUCUCUCUGAUGUCGAAAUCAGUGGAAGGGGUUCUAGAUGAGAAGUAUCCGGCAUUCAAAGAUAGGCAUAAGCUGGCAGUAGAACGAGAGAAGCAAAUUAAGGUAAAAGCCGAGCAAGCAAGAGCAGCAAGGUUUGAGAGGUCCUUGCCUCCAAAACUUGCUCAACUGAAAGAGAAGUCGGUACCACUGCCAGGGUCAGUACCAGUUUUGCCGGUGGUCUCUGCCUCUGGUGACUCAGCAGAGCAGUCUGGUGAUAGCAAAACCGACUCUCAAGCAGUAAGCAAAAUGAAACUUGUUAAUAUUGAGAAAAGACCUACUAGGACUCCUCGUCCACCUCCUAAACGAUCAGGAGGUGGUCCAGCUCCAGCUAAUGUUACAGGUGGAGCACCUGGAGGUCCACCCCCACCCCCACCUCCGCCUGGUGCUCCACCACCGCCUCCGCCACCUGGUGGAGGACCUCCUAGACCACCACCUCCUCCUGGAUCUCUAAUGAAAGGAGGAGCUGGAGGUGAUAAGGUCCAUCGUGCUCCUGAAUUAGUUGAAUUCUACCAAACAUUGAUGAAACGCGAGUCAAAGAAGGACACACCAUCAGCUUUGAUAACCGCUAAUUCAAACACAUCAGAUGCAAGAAGCAACAUGAUUGGGGAGAUAGAAAACAGAUCAACAUUCCUGUUAGCUGUAUGUAGAACUUCUCUUUUACUCCUUUGAAUAAUGCAUGUGCCUAUUACCCUAUUCUAACUCAAAGGAGAAUUGUGCAAAACCAGGUGAAAGCUGAUGUGGAAAGUCAAGGUGAAUUUGUCGAGUCAUUGGCAACUGAAGUUCGUGCUGCUUCAUUUACUAAUAUCGAGGAUCUAGUGGCAUUCGUGAACUGGCUAGAUGAAGAACUCUCCUUCUUGGUAUUUCCUUGACAUUAUACCUUCAAAUUCCCUAUUCCUUAAAUAGGGGACAUGAACAUCACUUUUCAUAAAUAGCAGUAUUUGUGCCCCUAAUAAAAAAGUAUGGCGAUAUUUAUUGAGUUUUCAAAACAUAAAAAAAGUUUUCUAUCAAAAUGUAUCAUAUAUACACUGACGAUCAUACAAACAUACAGUCAUACAUACACUAGCCUGAGGGAUGUAGUAAAAAUCUGCUAUAAAAAUAAAAGAAUCUAGCUAUUUUCUGUAAUAAUUUAAAAAUAUUGCUAAAACAGGUAAUUAGUGGGCUUAAGUUGUUAUAUCAUGUCAGUUUCCCUUAUUAAUCAUAUUUUUAUACAGUGGAUAUGAAAAUAGUUGGUUAAUUAAUCUCUCCCAAGCGACGAGGACCAUGCACUUUCUGCAUUAUAUACCUGCAGCAUUCAUUAACAGUUUAUCUCAUUGAUCUUUUCAAGGUUGAUGAACGAGCUGUCCUCAAGCACUUUGACUGGCCUGAAGGAAAAGCCGAUGCAUUGAGAGAGGCUGCCUUCGAAUAUCAAGAUCUAAUGAAACUAGAAAAGCAAGUAACCACCUUUGUUGAUGACCCAAAUCUUCAAUGUGAUGCUGCUUUGAAAAAGAUGUACAGGUUGCUUGAAAAGUAAGUCUCUGAUGAUAUCUAUGCCUCUUUUUGUCUAUAAACUAGAGAAUUUAGGUUUAGUAGGAUGCAGGGGAGGAUCCAGGCAUGGACGAGUCUGAACCCCCAUGGCGGAAAAUUACACUGUUUAUACACGUUUAAAAUUAUUUUCUAUGUAUAUACCAUGGAUGUUGGACCCCCUUCAUAAUUUGAACCCCCUUAGCGGAACUCCGGGCUCCGCCAUUGGUAGGAUGUGAAAAUGGUUGAGACUUAAACAAACUGUUCCAUACCACAUUUAAACUUAAACAUAUUUUGAAUUGGUACCUUUUCACUAAGUUGUUCGGACUCUCCAAAAAUGUUGCUGCACCCAUGUCCGAUCCUUCAAAAAUACACUACUUUUGGAGGAUCCGGCACGCACCUGUCAACAUUUUUGAAGAGUCCAAGCAACAUAGCCUUUUCAUGUGUAGUUCAUUUUUUUCUUCAUUUCAUUCCUAUGUAUAGCUAGCUCAGAUUUUCAUUCUGGAUACCAGGGUGGAACAAAGUGUUUAUGCACUACUGCGUACUCGCGAUAUGGCUGCAUCACGAUACAGAGAAUUUGGCAUUCCUACUGAUUGGUUGCAAGAUUCAGGUGUUGUUGGCAAGGUAUGUUCUUAUGUAGAAACAUCAUUGCGGUGUCCUUUCUCGAGGCUUUUUCAUAUAAAAACGCGAACUUUUCCGCCAAAAACCAUGCUGCAUGAAGACCUCAGAAUGUGAAGUGAAUUAGGAAAUAUCAAGAACCUGUGUAAUUAACAUAAAAUACGAUUUCACUUCGCGAUAAGUUCAAAAGAAAGAACAAAAAAUUUGCAGAGAAAUGAUCUGUUAUGUUUUUCUCUUCUGCAGAUCAAGCUUUCUUCAGUACAGUUGGCGAGGAAGUACAUGAAACGUGUAGCAUCUGAGCUCGAUGCACUGGAUGGACCCGAAAAGGAACCAAACAGAGAGUUUUUGAUUCUACAAGGGGUUCGUUUUGCUUUCAGAGUUCAUCAGGUAUAUACACACCACACCUGCAUUUUGUUCACUUGUUUUAUUAUAGAUACUGAUUGAAGAAUUCACCAGCUUGACUUUGAAAAUCCUUCUUUUUGCCAUCUUCAGUUUGCUGGAGGAUUUGACGCUGAAAGUAUGAAGGCAUUUGAAGAACUAAGGAGUCGAGUCCGGUCACAAAUAGGAGGAGAGAGUACACAAGAACCAUGAAUAUAUUUGUAUUUUGGUUUUAGUCAUUGUAUAUUUCAUCUUUUUUCUCCAAGUAUAGCAAACAUAUUCCAUCUUGGACAUUUUGUACAAUUCAAAAGGUUCAACUCAAGGUGAAUAUCAGAUAACACAGAUUAGUUAAAAGAAGUUGCAGGAAUAAAUAUUAUAGGGGGAAACACUUUUGACAACUUCACUAUAAGUGAAUUUUGGAUCUCCAUAUUCAUCAAUUCUGAAAAUUUGAGUAUACAUUACACUGGAAAAAAUGACUGAAACACUUGCAUAACUGUUGAAUAUUAAGAAAUUCGAGUAAUCAGUCAUAUUAACUUCAAGCUUGAAGUAUGUCGCCCCCAACGAUGAGAAACUUGAGAAUGUAGUUUAUGGUGAUUCAAUCAUCAGUACUGUUUCCUCCAUUUAACAUGGUGAACCUUCACAUUGUACAUAGAUAGGGAAAACGUUUAUUGACUGCGCGGCCAUGAAUAUUGUUACGACAGCUGAUGCAAACUGACUAAAGGCAUGCUUAUAGCUAAACAUGUUAUUGAGGUUUCUUGAUUUCAUCUGCUAUCUCAUUGUGAUGACAAGACUUCUAUCUGUAAAUUUGGCACCUCCAACCUUCCCUUGAAGUUGAGAUGGUAGACGAAUGACACGUCUUUGAUCACCAGCCUCCACCAACAAUUCAGAUCCUCCUCUAAACUGCAAAUAGCCAGAAAUUCUGAUUAAUUUCACCAUAUAAUUUGGUUUUCAGUAGCAAAACAAGUAGAGCAACGAUAAUAGCAAUGAGCCUUUGGUCAUCGUAGUAGCUUCAAAGGGUCGAGCACUCUCAAAUUGGACAACCGAAGCAAGUUAGAUGUCAGAAGAACUUUUCAUGUGCUAUAUUAACAGCAAAACUCUGAUCGCAUCCUAGAACAGCAAGCUAGGAAUGUUCUUAAUCGCUCAACUACAUAAUAUAGUGCUUCAUGCAAACGUAAGCACCUGUUGAAUGCUUCAUAGUCUGCGUUCGUUGCAGUUAAGUGAGUCAAUGUUUCAUCUAGUGAAGAAUUUCAUUGCAAGUUCACAGGAGGAUCACUUUUGGUAUCAUAGUAUACGCAAAAUGCAGAUAGGUGAAACAAACCAUACUACAUACUUGAUAUAGCUUGAUUUCCGAUUUGUCAAAACCGGGCAUGAGAAGUGUGACAAUUUUGUUGGUUGGAUCAAAGGUAACUGGAGGAAUGCUGGCCUUAUGAGCUGUUACUGUCAGAAGAUUCCGUGCACUCUCGCUAUGACUAUCCUGCAUAAUCUUGUUCCAAUCUAGAUGGGCUCCCACUGAGAUAUGUGGAACAAAAGCAGAAGGCAAAGGUGAAAAAAUCUCAAUCGUUGCUCCUGAUUCUCCACUUGAAUUUGGCGAUGCAAGAGCAAAUGCACCAGAAACCUGUGCACCGGCCUGGAUUAUGCAACCCCAGUAGCGUAAAGCAGAAGCCAUAGACACAGGGCUGUUUCUAUCCACCACAAUAUAGCAACCAAACCUUUUGGGUUCUGCAAAUAUUUUAGAUCCUCUCUGCAGCAUGCAAAAUCAUUAGAACCUUUAGUUCAAAUUCGAUGCAACAACAAAAACAAAAUACCUAGUGUAAUCCCACGAUUGGGGUCUAGGCAAGGUUGGAGUGUACGCAGACCUUACCAUACCAGAGGUAGAGAGGCUGUUUCCGAUAGACUAGGUCAAAAUUGAUGGUAUCUUUGAAAAAAAAGAUUAGUAGUUAACAUACCCCCAAUACUUGUUCUAGAAGGUCCCAAAUUUCUGAACUCAUUUUCCCAUUCAGAUUAAGAUUGCUACCGCUUAGAGUCAAGGCUUCUUCCGCAAGUCUCAAAAGUGAGGGACUUGCCAGCCUUCCUAAAUCAGUUUUUUCAGCUAAAUUGCGGAGAUAUUUCAAGUAUAACCUGCAUGUGGAAAUAAAAGAUAUGAUAUUCCACAUCGAUUUUUGCAUAGAGACAUUUAACAAGUCGGGGAGAAGAUCUAACCUUGCUUUGCUGGUUGCACCAAUCAUCCUAAUCGUUUCUUCAGUACUCAUGCCAUCAUAAAUAAUAAUAUCAAAUUUCUCUUUUUUACUAUUUUGUCGAACCACAUUUUCAAAAAAUCCUACAAGCUGCUCGAGUGCUAGGGAUGAAAAUAUGGAAUCCAUACCAGGAAGUACUCCAAGCUCUUCUCCAACUACCUAAGAUAUUGUGAAAAAAGUUACUCAAAGAGAACUCAUCCAGUUCUGGCGAAAGAAAGACAGACAAUUGCACCAUUAAGUUACAUACCUACCCCUUCAAGAACUCCUUGAGUCAUAUUAAGACGAGCAUCUGCUUGCUUCAGUUUAUUAAGAGGUUCAAGGAGCAUCUGCAAUUACCGAUGAUUGUUCAGCGUAAAUGAAUUGCAACCAAUAUAAAAUCUCAACAUUGCAGGAAAGACGGGUGAAGUAAGGGUUAAACAGGAACUGACUUUUGUAGUUUCCAAUCUAACGGCUGAAAGGUUGUCGUUGCAUGUUAUUGGCGAUGUCCCAAUCUUACAAUUCAGAAGAUAUUCAGCUGUCGGAUCUUGAGAAUGUAUCACCAAGCAUGUUUUGAGCCCUGACAUUGCAUAAUGCUGGUAAGAAAAGAAAUUUGCGGGUUAGUCUACCUAACUUCAUCUUAUUCAGGAGAAACGUGUGAUUCCUGUUAUGGUACAUCAUUAGUUAAGGUUUAAAGAGGAAAAGACAGGCAGAUUCAGGGUCAAUGUAGAGUGUCUCUUUAAUCUUUUGUAUAGUACUAGACGUCGACGAUAUAAUAAUAUCAUAGAAAAUACACUGAAAAUGAAAGGGCAAAAACAAAGCAAAUUGUGGCGAUAGUGCCAAGAUAAUAACACUAAAUGGAAGAGCAUGCUGUUAUAAAUUUAUAGGGGAGAAUGUAGCCAGAGAUGCAGUGAUCAAUGAAUAUUGUGUUAAUAUUUCGCGUGAGACCUAAACGUAUGUGUCAUCGUCACAUACAGAACAUAGCUUUUGUCCGGAUAUUUUAAGGAAACAAAUCACCUAAAAACAAUAUUAUGAUGAUUCCCAGGAAACAAACUUCUAAACGAUUCAUGAGGUUUGUUCACUUCCUACCCCCUCCCCUGCACUCCUGGAUGUUUUUUCCAUUCUUUGCUCCACUGCCCACAGCGUCGAAGGAAAAAGAAAAGGGAAGACAAAGUGUAACAAGUUUUCCUUCUGACAAACAAGAGAAUAAGCACGUGACGAGAGAAAACUUGGUUGCACUCGUGCUUUCCUUGCAGUAUCAUGAAUAAAAGUAUUAAAGUUGGAAUUAUUGUCUUUUGAUUUUGAUUGUGUAUUACAAAAUUGGUAUACCUCCUUGAAAACAGUUCGUAAAGAAAAAAAAGUUGAAUGUUAUUUAAGACAAAUGAACUAAAUCAUGAAAGUAACUGUGAGUGCUUCAUUUGAGUUGUAUAAGUACUCCAGUAAAUAGUGAGUGCUUAAGCAAGUAAGAAAACAACAAGAAGAGAGUAGUCAAGUGAGAAAUAAGAUAGAGAGCAACAUAGAGAGUCGUUAGAGUGUGAGUGCAAGAAAAAUUAAAAGGGUAGCACGGUGGACUAAAGCUCCCGCUACACUCGGGGUCCGAGGAAGGACCGGACCACUAGGGCCUUUUGUAAACAACCUUACACUGCAUUUCUGCAAGAUGGUGCUUCCACGGCUUGAACCCAUGACCUCCUGGUCACAUGGCUACAACUUUACAAGUCACACAAGAAAAUUAGUGCAAGAAUCAUAAGACCGAAGGGAGUCCUUACUUUUCAAUAAUAAAAUUCAAGUUGUUAGCAACUCCGUCAACAAUUCUAACAACAAACAAUCUAUCCUCUUAUAGAAGCCAGGGAUAGAAAAGAGUUCAAACACUAAUUCAGUCCCAGAUGAUCUAAAAAGCAUCAACACAACCCCACAUUUUCAACCAAAACAACAACAGCAUCCAUACACCGCUUACAAAAGAGAGAAUGAACAGAAACUUAGAAUCUUUAUAGCAAAAUUGUACACUUAAUCCACUAACCUGAGCAGCAAAAUGGCAUAAGUGGCUUUCCCAGAACCCCCUUUGCCCAAAAAGGUAACUAGCUCAGUGGAUUUUGCAUUAUUAGCUGAAUCAUCACUAGUAAUAGCCAAAAUCGCAUUCUUGAUCUUCUUCUUGUAUUAGCUAAAGAUUUUAUCUUUUUCACUGGCUGGUUGAAAAAAAUCAGAAUAUGUUUCUUCUAGUAUAGUUUACUUUAAUCGUCUGAUUUAUCGUCCUAUGGUUUGCAAUUACUAGCUUUCGCAUGAUGCCCUGCUAGUUUGAUCCCAACAAUUCAGGCCCAAAUGAUUUAUGAAGCAUCAAUACAACAACUCCACAUUUUCAACCAAAACAACAACAUCCAUCUACUGUUUAUAAAAGAUAAAAUGGAAAAAAAAAAAAUAAGUAGAAUCUUUAGAGCGAAAUUCAGAAUAAGUUUCUUUUAGUAUAGUUUACUUUGUUGUCAGAUUUAUCAUUGUUAUGGUUUGCAAUUACUAACUUCUACAUGACGCCCUGCUACUUCGAUCCCAUCAAUUCAGUCCCAAAUGAUUUAAGAAGCAUAAACACAUCCACAUUUCCAACCAAAAGAACAUCCAUCUACUACCUAAAAAAGAUAAAAUGGAACAAAAAGUAGAAUCUUUAAAGCAAAAUUCAGAAUAUGUUUCCUUGUAGUAUAGUUUACUUUGCACUCAGAUUUAUCGCUCCUGCGGUUUACGGUUUGCAACUAUUAACUUCCGCAUGACAUCGUGCUACUUCUAACCCAACAAUUCAGUCCUAAGAAUUUAUGAAGCAUCAAUACAACCUCACAUUUUCAACCAAAACAACAACAACAACAUCCAUCUACUGCUUAUAAAAGAGAGAACACAACAAAAAAGUUAGAAUCUUCAGAGCAAAAUUUAAUACUCCCUUUAUCGCAAUUUAUGUGUCACCCUUUCCUUUUUAAUCCGUUCCAAAAAAAUAAAAUUCACCAUACUGUAAAUUUUCUCUUUUACCCUUUUUUGACACAAAUUUUAAAAGUCAUUUAUUAUUUUUUUCAAACAACAUGUCAAAUUAAAACAGUGUCACAUAAAUUAAAACAGAGGGAGUAGUUAUCUCUAGUACUACUAGUAGUUAUUUUAGACACAAAUCUCUAAAGUCUUUAUUUUUCCUUAAACAUCUUAUCAAGUCAAACGAUACCACAUAAAUUGAAACGGAGUGAGUAGUUAUCGAAUAGUAGUAGUUAUUUUAGACACAAAUUUCAAUACCCUUCAUUCCUUUUAAACAUUGUGUCAAAUCAAACUGUUAUUUUUUCUUAAACAUUAUGUCCAAAGUCAUUCAUUUUUUUUAUGAUAACCGUGGUGUUUGGGUCAGCUUGCGCGUACCUCGACUAAAUCCACGGGAUACCUGCCACGUCCCACCAGCAACAGGUCCCAAGUAACUCCGUCCACCAAGAAAACACCUAGUAUUUGCCUUUGCUGGGAAUUGAACCUGAGACUCAUGGUGCUCAUCUCAACUUCAUUGAACCACUAGGCCACACCCUUGGAUGCAGUCAUUCAUUUUUUCUUAAACAACGUGUCAAGUCAAACAGUGUUGCAUAAAUUUAAAUUGAGAAGAGUGAGCAGUUAUCUAAUACUACUAGUAGUUAUUUUAGACACAAAUCUCAAAAGUUCUAUUUUUACUUAAAAUAUUGUGUCAAGUCAAACAGUACUACAUAAAUCGAGACAAAGUGAGAGUGAUUAAUCAACUAACCUGAGCAGCAAAGAUGGCAGAAGUAGUUUUCCCAGAACCCCCUUUGCCCAAAAAGGUAAUUAGCUUUGUGGAUUUUUCAUUUUUAACUGAAUUAUCACUAGCCAUAGCCAAAAUCUCCAUUCUUGAUUUCCUUCUCCUUGUUUUAGCUACACAUUUUAUCUUUUUUAUUGGCUGGUUGAAAAUAUCAGAAUAUGGGUAAUUUUGGGUGGAGAAUAAUGAAGAUGUUGUUAACAUUUGUACAGUGGAACUUGACAUUGUUCUACAAGAUUAACGUUGUUUGUAAACAACACAGGGAGAGUAGUAGUACAUUCAAAUUCAAUUUAGGAAAGUUAGGCCUUUCUUAAAAAAAAUAAAAAGAAUAAGUAAAAAAAAUAUCUAGAGUAGCAUAGUUAAGUACUCCCUCCGUUUCGAAAUAAGUGAAUUAUUGAGAUAUUUAUUAAUGUUUCAAAAUAAGUAAAUUAUUGAAUUUUUUUCCAAAUUUGUUCUUAUGAUUUGACAAACAAUUAACUUUUGAAAAGGCAUUACAAGGUCAACUUUUUCUUUCUUUUUUUGGGGGUAAAAAUGAAAAGUUGUGUUAAAUUUAUGUCUUUAAUAUUAAAUUAUAAAAAAUAACAACACUUUUAUCAAAUCACAUUUUGUAGCAUAUAUAUUUGUAUUUUUGUAGCAACAAUUUGUAAAAAUACAAAAUUCAUAUCGAUCAUAAGGACAGUAAAAAUCAUAUGUAUUUGUAUUUUUGUAGCAACACUUUGCAAAAAUACAAAAUACAACUUGUUAUAUUAUGUAAUUAUGAAACUGUUGCUAUGAAACUCAUAAUUAAGGGGCUAAAUAUGCUAUUUUUGAAUUUUGCCCCAAAAAAAAUAAUAAUAACAUAAAUAUGCAACUUAACUUAUGUAUUUACACAAAUCUCCACUCUUAUAAAGUAACUUAGAAAAAUUUCAAUUAAUUAUGUAUCUUCAUCGAAUACAUUAAAAGCUAAUUAUGUAUCUCGACGGAUCUAAAAGCGAAAAGAAUGUAUCUAGAGCUAAUUAUGUACGUUUACAAAGGAAAAAUUGUAUCUUUGUUGGAUGUAUUAUGUAUUUCGACCGACUCAAAAUCAACCCUAUGAACAUUUUUUUCCUCACGUUCACAAACGGUGUUAAUUGUAGCUUGUCUAUUUUUGGACAAACUGUCCGUUUUGGUACAUAAAGAAACGGACUGUCUGUUUUGACUUCUAGACUUGAGAAAGUGUCCCUUUUAACUCCGAACUCUUUUAUAUAUUAUAUAUUGCUUCUCUAGUUCUCUUUCUUGGUGUGUAUUAUUUGACAUGUUAAAUUCACUAACUUUUGAUUUGAUUAUGUAUUUGUAUUAAGAAUAAAAAUUUUUCGUAAUAAUGUAAAAUGUCAAAAAAAAAUUGUAAUUGAGCUCCAAAUUGUUGGGAUUUACUUUUUUCCUGCUUUCACAUUAGUAUCCGACUAAUUUAGAUUCGAGUAGGUCCAUCGAAGGGAUCUCUACCAAGGUUAUUCUAUAUUUAAAGCUCGAAACUAAAACCUCUUUUUACAUGUUGAUCCUUAUCAUAUGAACACAAUAUUUUUUUGUUUGUUUGUUUUUUCUUAGGUCCUCUUUGACAUAAUUUGAAAUUAGAUUAAUUUAAAGUUGAAGUUUUAUUUGAAUGUGCAAUUCUCAUUUGUUAAUGUGUAUUUUUUCUCAAAAAUAUGAAAAUUCUAUAAGUUGGGAAAGCUAUCAAAUUUUUUUGAAUUUUUAUGCUGUCUUACCAAAUGAGUAUACCAUAGUCCAUAAGCAAUAUAUCGAAAUAUAUCACAUAUCUUCAUGUUGCUUUUAUAGAUAAAUAUAUACAAUUAUAAAUUUACAAAUGCACAUAAUUUUAUAAAAAUUCACUAGUCAACAAUAAUAGUAACUAGAGAUUCUUCAAUACUAUAAUCUUUUCAAAUGAUAGAGUCAAUUUCUUCACGUCGAGCUUGAACGUUCUCUUAUACAAUUUAAAAUGAUAGGUCUUCUUCUUACAAAAUGUAAGCUUAUGGAUUAAAUUUUAUAUUAUAAAAAAAGUGAAAUCAAAAUUUUGAGUCUCAAAUUCUAUUUUUUUCUUUUUUCUUUUUUGGAGAAUUUAGCUACUCACGAUCCCAAAUUACAUGUGCAAAUAGAUUUAAAAUGAUUUUCUUAAAUCAUAUGUUCGAAAGUAAUUACACUCUCUCCCACUUUUUUAAUUAUUUUACUCUCUUUCUUUAUUAAUAUACAUAACAUAACCGACUUAUACAUAACAUUCUGUGUAUAUGUGGAAUUUUUGUAAUAUAUUUAAGGAGUUGAGAUUUUUUGUAAUAUUGAAAAUAUAAGUUGUGUAUUUGUUACUUUAGCUGAACUAGUUCUUUUCUCUCUUUAUUUUUUCACCUAUUUUUUCUAUCUAAGUAUGUUUUUGGACAUGCAAUUUUAUGUCUAUGAUAUGAAAUUAUGAGAUGAAAUCAACGUUUGGUCAUGCGAUUUCAUCUCGUGAUUUCAUAUCAUGACAUGAAAUCCCAAAUUCUUCAAAAAACAUGUUUUGGGGAUAUCAAAUCAUGAUUUAAGAUUAUUCAAAUACAAAAAUUAACCUACAAGUUUAUAUUUUGUAAAAAGAACAUCACUAUUUAUAUUUAUCAACUAUUUAUUUCAUAUGUAAAUAAUAAAAUGUAUAGUUUAUAUUCUUACUUUUGUCAAUCUUUAAAUUAUUUAUACCUCAUUUAACUAUUAUUUUUACGUUUAAUCAUGAGAAAUAUUCAUUUUUUUUCCAAUUUUUUUUUUUUUUAUUAAUAUUAUCUUCCAUCCAAAUAAGAACUUGAAAAAAACGAAGAGAAAGAAAAUGAACAGGAGCUCCCUCCAAAAAUGAAAUAAUAAUGUAAGGGACUAUUCACAUAUUAUCAAGAUUUGUCCAAAAUCUAAAACAAACUAGACCUCGAUGGCCGUGAAUAUAUGUUAUUUUUUAGUUUCAAUUUAUGUGACAUAAAUAGAAUUUGGAUAAUCAUAUUUUUAAUAUGCUUUAGAUAUUUUAAGCUUUUGACCAUGGUAAAUUAUAUUAUCCUUUAUACAAUUUUUAAAUGAUACAUGUUACUCUCCCUAUUCAAACUUUUGUGGAAUUGAUAGUCACUUAUAUUUAAAAUAAUUUAAUUUUUUAAUUAUUGAGUAUCUUUUUUCUAUUCCAAUUUAAGUGACACUGAUAUAAUUCGAAGAGUUAAUUAAAUAUUUUAUAUCUUUAAAUUUUUUGAAAAUGUUAAUUGUUGUGUUUACGUAUUUUUAAAAAAUAUAUAAUAGAUAAAAUCAUUUAUUAAGUAUUUUAAGUUGUUAACUAUUUUAAUUUAUAAUACUUUUUUAUAUAAUUUUCAAAUAAUACAUGUUACUCUCCUUGUCCAAACUUUUGUGCAAUUGAUAGUUAAUUAUAUUUUUAGUUAUUCUAAUUUAAGUUGGACUGAUAUAAUUUCGAGAGCCAACCAAUAUUUUAUAUCUUUACAUUUUUCGAGUUGUUAAUUAAUGUGAUCUAUAGUAUUUGUUAUGUUUUUUUUUUUGGAAUAUAUAAUAGAUUAAUAUUUUUUUUAUAUUUUAAAUUGUUAAAUGUUGUAAUUUAUAAUACUUUUUAUAUAAUUUUUAAAUAAUAUAUGUUACUCUUUUUGUCCAAAAUUUGUGGCAUUAAUAUUCAAUUAUAUUUUAAAAAUAAUUUAAGUUUAUAAUUACUGUGAUUUAUAUUAUAUUUUUCCUACUUCAGUUUAAAUGAUACUGAUAAAAUUUCGAGAGUCAGCAAAAUAUCUUAUGUUUUUUUAAUUUCUUAAGUUAUUAGUUAUUGUGAUUUAUAGAAUUUUUUUUGCAUUUUUUUGAAAUAUAUAGCAAAUUAAAAAAAAUAAGACAAAAAAUUAAAAUGGAUAAAAAAAAUAAAGGCAAUGGGAAGGACCAAUGAAGUUGUGUCAAAGUAGAUAGAUUGACCUUCAAAUUAUUUAAGUUGUUAAUUAUUAUAAUUUAUAGUAUUUUUAUACAUACUUUUUGAAACAUAUAACAUAUUAAAUUUUUUAAAGAUAUUUUAGUUGUUAACUGUUGUAAUUUAUUAUAAUUUUUAUGUAAUUUUCAAAUAAUAUAUAUUACUUUCCUUGCCCAAAAUUUUUUGGCAUUGAUAGUCAAUUAUACUUUUGAAAUAAUUUAUUUUUUUUAAUUGUUAUUUUUUGUAAUACUUUUUCUUCUAUUCUAAUUUAAGUGGCACAAUGCUUAGAUGAUCAUAAUAAUUAAUUAGGGUGAUAUAGUAAAAUCACGAUUGAAGCAACAAUGUAGAAAUAUUUUAAUGACUUAUAAUAACUAAUUAGAAGUGAAAUAGCAAAAUUACCAUAAAAAUACUUGCGAUUUUUUUUUAAGUGGACCUCAUAUAAGACGUUAAGUUAAUUUAGCAUUAAAUAUUAUUAUGUUUUUAAUACUUAAAUGACUUUAUAAUAAUUUUUUAAUAUUUAGAUGACUUAUAAUAAUUAAUUAGAAACGAAGUAGUAAAAUUACGGUUGAAACAGUUGAAGUAAACAUAUCAUAAAUGUCUAUUUUACUUUUUUAUUAAAUAUUAUUAAUUUAUUAAUAGAUAAAUGAUAUAUAAUAAUUAAUUAGGGAUGAUAUAGUAAAUGCUCAACUCUCUCUUAUAAUAUAAGAGAAUAUAAAACAAGUUUGUCUAGCUAUAUGAUAUUAAUGCUGUGAGUGCUAUAUCAAUGCUUGUAUAAUAUAUGGUUCCAUCACAUUAUGAAUUUUUUUUUGGCAACCCUCUUGUAUCACAAUAUUAUAAUUUCAAUAAUAAUGCAGCAUCUAUGAAAAAGUACAAACUAAAACUGAGGGUCUAUCAGAAACAAUCGAUCUACCUUUGUGAGGUAGAGGUGAUCGAUUAAGUCUGUCGUCUGCGUAUAUUGUACCAUCUCAAAACCUUACUUGUGGAUUACGCUAGAAUGUUGGUAUACAUGAAAAAAAUAAAAUAUAAUUUUGAUCUGAGCAUAAUUGUAGUAAAGUAUUAUACUACCUAUAGCUUGGUAUUUUCCUUGUAUAAUGUAAGAAGAAUUAAAGUAAAUAUAAUGUCAGUGUCCAAACUCAAAAUGGAGAUAUUAUGUUUGGAGGAUUUUUAGAAAUAAUAAAGGAAGGUAAAUAUUGAAAUAUUCAUGUAAAAUGAGUUUAUUGAAUUUUUUACUAUAAAGAUAUGAAACACCAAAAAUGAUAGAAAUUAGCAAAACAAUAAAAUAUAGAGAUUUCAAAAAGUAAAACAGAUUACCUACUUAUUCUCAAAUUUAUCACAUAUAUAGGACAUACAAUCUUAAAAAGAUUUGAUAAUCUGCUCUAAAAAAAUGGGAUUUUUCUCCUUGUUGAUUAAGUUUUCUCUAAUGUAGUCAAAAGUGAAAUAAUCAAAAAUGAAAACCACAAAAUAAUUUUUUCUUAAUUACCAUGUGAGAAAGUGGGUAAAAGAUCUCAUUUCUUUCCUUUCCGUCGAAUGAUACGACAAAUAUUAUCGGAUUUCAAAAUAGCACGAUCAAUAUUAGUAGCGCAUAAUUUCAUCCAAAAUCUAUCGUAAUUAGUAUUCUAAACUGCCCACGAUCAACAUGGUAAAAUUGUUAUCAUGUGAUCAGAAAGUCAUUGGUUCAAGCUGGGGAAACAACACCUUGCAAAAAUGUAAGAUGAGGCUGCAUACAAGAGGCCUUGUGGUUCGACCCUUCCUCGAGCCCCAUACAUAACAAAAACUUUAGUGCAUUACGUUUUUUUUUUAUAAUUCUAAACUGCCCACGAUCAACAUGGUAAAAUUGCUACUAUGUGAUUAGGAAGUCACAGAUUCUAGCCGUGAAACAACACCUUGCAGAAAUGUAAGACGAUACUGUAUGCGUACAAGAAGCCCUUAUGAUUCGACCCUUUCUCGGGACCCCAUACACAGCGGAAACUUUAAUGCAUGACACUAUUUUUUUUAUAUAUAGCAUUCUAAACUGCCCAAUAAUACAAAACUCAACGGCAAAAACAUGCAUUUUGUUAAAUCAAAGAGAGGGGGGGGGGGGGACAUUAUAUAUAUUCAUCAUUCAUGCCAAAAAAAAAAGAUCUAUAGAUAAAUCUAGAAUUAAUUAAUAACGUGAGCUCUCAAGUUCAAAUUUCAGCAGAGAUAAAAACAUUAGACGAUCUUUUCCCAUUUCUGAUAUAUGCUAAUGAAAGGUAGAACACAUCAUGCAAAAUUAAUCUAGUAUCACGUGAUAUUAGUCGAGGUGCAUACAAGCUGACUCGAAUACAGAAAUUAUUCCAAAAAAAGUAGUUACAUUAAGAAGCAUAUCUUGGCAUUGGACUAGCUCUUGGUGAUCUUGGAAGUUCAUCAACCCUAUUUCCAAAUGAAUCAUAAUAUAUAACACCAGAAAAUUUUGGUGGUUGACAUUUUUCACCUAACAUAAUUGCCUUUUGCCAUAGACCUUCUUCUCCGGCUACUUCUCCGGUACGAUGACCGGAAUCUUCAUCGAUUUUUUUGGUCAUGUUAGUUGGAACAAUUUUGGAUUCAUUACUAGUUUUGGACAUGGAUUUUUUUGAAGUUUUUUUUGCAUGUUUUGCACAUAAUGCUACAAGUGCUAUUAUUGAAAGAAAUAAACCAAUUGAUAAUGGCAUGGAAGUAUAUAAAUUAUCACCAUUAAUUCUUGGUAAUAUUGGACGAACCAUUUUAAAGAAAAUUAAUUAGGGUAUUUGGAUAUUUCAAGUUGGAAGAAAAAGAAGCUAAGGGUGAUGAAGAAGAAAUUAAAGAAAUGGAGAGUUUUGAGAUAUUAUGAGUGGAUAAAUGGGGGCUGGGGCUGGGGGUGGGGGUGGUUUUAUUUUAUUGAAAAUAAAUUUUAUGUAUGAUAGAUAAAAAAAAUGUAUCUACAAAUCACUUAAAAGAUGCUUGGAGGUAAUUAAGUCUUUGUACAAACAUUAAUUAAUAAACUUAAAAAAUGGAAAGUAAUCUCUUAUAAUGGGUCAAGAUAUAUUGAUAGUAUAAUUAAACUUUAAUUUUAUAUCAUUAGUGCAUAUAAUUUAAACAUUAUUUUAUUAUUUUAUGGUGUAGUGAUUUUUCAACCCUAAUUGUGGCAGUUGCAAGGUAGGAGAACAAUUUUCAACUUUAAUUUUGCAUUGGAAUUAUUUUAAUGACUCAAUCAUUAAAACUUAUGAGAUUUUAUAUAUUUGUUUUCAGAUUUUUAUGAUUAGGUAAGUCAAUUCAAAAACUUACAAGACGAAAAAAAAACUGUAUUUAAAGAAAAUAUUUUUUUUGUUUGUUUCUUUCAAAACUUUAUACAAGUAAGUUGAACAACUAAUGAUUUUUUACUAACUCGUGUUUUAUUAAUUAAUGUAUUUAUAUUUUUCAAAUUUAUAGUUUUUACUAACUCAAGACUUUACUAAAUCAUGUUUUAUUAAUAUAUUUUUCAAAUUUAUAGUUUGACCAAUUCAAGCACUAUUUUCAUUGUUGAAAUCAUUGAAGACGUGUGUAUCAAUAUUUAAGUUUGGAUUGGGUCAACAUUAUAUGAUAGAUUUGUUCAUUUAUUAAGUGAAUAAUAUUCCAAAUAUCAUCAAAAUUAAAAUUCACCUACUUUCAUGAAAAAACUAUUCUAAAAUUUAUUGACUUCAUAUAUUCUUUAUGUACGGUUAAUGUGAAUCAUUUUUUAUAUUGUCAGACUCAAAUCAUUCAAAUUAUAUUUAGAUUAAAGGUAUGCCUUCUUAAAAUGUGAGAUUUGAAAUCUUAAAAAUAAGGUAUUGUAGUUGUACUAUAGGUAAAAAUAAAUAGUACAAAUAUUAUUUAAUAAUCAUAGUUUAUGUUAAUUAAAUUAACUUUUUAAUGUAAUUAAUAAAUAAUUAACAACUACUUACCAUCUUAUUAUGGCUGAUGAUCAGGAGACGGCUUGCAAAAAGGAACUACUAAUAAUUUUUACUCAUAAUUUGAACUAAUUAAGUUUUUAACCUAAUUAAGGUUUUAGGUUAAUGUAAACUAUUUUUUUAAGCUAGAUCGAGCAUUGCAAAUAAAUAAAAAUAUUAUAGAGAUAGAUACUCCUCCAUUUUUAAUUUAAAUUAAGUUAUUGUUCGAGCAUUGGACGUGGAAUUGUCUUUGUUAAGGAAAACUUUACCUCCCACUGUUAAAUUUUCUGACGCAAAUUUAGAUUUAAUAAUACGAGUAUUGAAAACAAAAAAUAAUAUUAUAUGUAUCCCUUUCUAAUUUUUUUUUUUUUUUUUUUUUUAUAUAUAUUCCAGCAUAACGAGAUGUUUUCUAUUCUCAAAAAUUACAACUUAUAGAAUAUUCUAUAUUUAAGAGGUCAUAAUAGUAAUAUAGUAGACUUAGUGGACGUUUGUUUUGCUAAUCAUGAUGCAUGUAUUAUAAUAAAUUAAUUUACACAAAUUUUAUGUGAUUCUACGUACGUGCAUCCCAUGAUAAGAAAUUGACAAGUUUUAUAAUAAUAAUAAUAAUUUCUUUCUAAAUCGUAUAACAUGCCCUCCAACAUCAUCCCCUCAAAUACAAAUACUGUAUACAAAGCACAUGAAGAGCUAAAACUCUAAAGUGUUAAUUUGGUACGAAGGAUAAGUGAUAACUAAUUGUUGAAUUAAUUUUAGAAUGAGUUCAUCCCAUGUAUAUUUGGUUGAUAUAAAAUCAUGAAUAAUUUAUCUCAGAAUUAGAUAUUAAAAAAUUAUAGUGAUUUUUAUCCCACAUUGAAAGUGAUAUAUGAUUAUCAAAAAAUUAAUUUUAAAAUAAUUAAUUCCAGAAUAACUAGUUCCCGAUCAAUCGAACCCUAAGUGGAGUACUUUUCUUCUUGUUUUCUUUUUUUAAUAAAAAAUUAUUAUGAAUGUUUGACUAUCCACGUGUCAAGAUCAGAGAGUGGUGAGUCUGAGAUCAUAUAUUUUAUUAAUAUGCAAUUAUGUCACUUUUUUUUUCUUCUCAUAUUGUUGGGGAAAGGGUUAGUUUUGCAUUUUUGUGUAUGCAAAUUUCAGCAAACAUUGCCUUUCGUCAUUUUUUUUUAAUAAUUGUGGUGUCUGAAUAAUUUUACAUAUUAAUCUUUAAAUAUAAUAAAUUUAAUAUUUGAGAAAUACAUUAGAUAGUGAAGAAUAUAUCUAAUAUUAAGACUAAAAUGAGUAAAUAAUUAAGUUAUUCAUUAAUUUUAUUGAACAUCACAAAAUAAAAAAGUGAAACCGAUGAGUAUUAAUUAUUAUCUGGUUGUUAGGAGAAAAAAAAUCUUUUUGUCAUUGACUUUCUACAAAACACUAACUAAAGCUAAUUUUGAAGCAUAGUUAAAAAUUGAGUAAAUUUAAUACUUUUUUCAAAGAUUGAUAAAAGAAAAAAUGAGAAGUAAUCUUUUAUCUUUAAUUAAAGAUUUUGAAUUUGAAUUUCGUUCGAUAUAAGAUCACCCUUAUAAAGGAAUGCUACAACUCUCAAUAUGAAACUUUUCGACACGUAUAAAUUCAAAUAUAAUUGAAUCUGAAUACAAAUACCGAUCGGUCGUUAGAACGAAGAAAAAAAAAGUUGUUAGAGUUUGUGACCCAAAUUCUGUUGAUUCGGCCCUGAAAAGUUCGCGGUGCGACCCAUGUUUGUGAUUUUUCUUGGGGUCUGUGGUGGUAGCCUAGGAUUUAUUUGUACGUAUGUAUUAGUAGGUCGUUUUUAGAUGUUCAGAAAAUAUGUCAUUCUUCUCAAUGUAUUCUCCAUCCAUUGUAUUUUUGCUUGUGAUUUGCUUAUUUCUGUCCCAACUUAACAAAAGCAAUGAUCAUCUUCUUACUUCUAAAAUCCAGACAAUUUCUUGGGUAAUUAACAACACUUAGAAAAAGAUAUUUCCCUUUAAUUAAUUUUCUCAACCAAUGAGAAGGUUAAGUGUCAAUUAAUUAACUUUCUAGCUUAACCAUCAUGAGGAAGAACUGUGGGACAGAAAGACAAUUAUCUUAGUUUCCUUUUUGUUCCUUUAUAGUAUAGUUCAUUCAUUAUACCUUUUUUAGCUAAGAAAUUAAAAUGACACCUACAAAUAUCUUUUGUUUUUUAAUUAAAAGUUUCUUAUGUGAUGAUUUAAUCACGUUUCCUAAAAGAAUCAUAUAAUAAAAAUAAGGAAAAAAGUCAGAAAUAUACAUAAAUUUUGGUAAAAUUUAUUGUAACACGCCUCAAUUUUGCGGGGGUCUUAUGAUCUCCUCGAUUAUUUAUUACCGUAUUUCUGUGGCAUAUAUUUAUCCAGCUGAACCAUUUCAGAUCCUUAUGUGUCAGUGCGCGUGCAUUCACCCAGGGGUCCAGCUAGACAAAUAGAUGUUACAGAAAUACGGUAAUAAAUAGUCGAGAGGGGACAAAGGACCCCCGCAAAGUUGAGGCGUGUGAUAGUGUCACAAUCCAAAUGGCCAUGAGUGGCACCCACACUCAAUUUUUCAGUGGGAGGACCAUCUAAAUCAACUAUUACCCAAUCACUUAGUCAAUAUUAAAAUGAUAUUUUCAUAAAAUCAUCUUAACGAUAAUAAUCUAAAGUUCAUCAUUAGUAAUGCGGAAACAAAAUAAUCUACUUACCAAAAUUUUCAAGACCCGAAAGUCAUCGUACAAGAACUACUAACAAAGAUCAUGUCUAAAGAGAUAUAAAAAAAAUAAAGUAAAUAAAGAAUGUUUCAUUGCCCGAAAGAUGGACAAGAACAAAUAAGAUGACCCAUGGCAGCCUGAAGACGGAGUGCUCACACUUGGAUCAAGAGUUGCUAUCAAACUCUGGAGGUGAGAUCAUGUAUGAGCAUCUAGAACAAUUUCUGCACUCAACAAAAGAAGAGUACAAGGUAGUAUCAGUACGAACCACUAUGUACUAGUAGUUAUCAUAGUCUAACUCAUGACUUAAUAACAUGUACGCAACUUGAUACAAGCAUGAAGAGCACAAAGAGUACAAGGUCUUGUAGAAGGUUUAAGUUUCAGAUUUUUCAAGUGAUUGAAGAUCUUUUUGAAGCCUUUUUAAAACCUUGUCCAAGUGAAGAAAGGAAGAGGGUUCUCACACUCAAGAGGUGCCUCAAGUGAAGGUUAAUGGAAACAUUUUACACUCCAAAAUGACACUCAAGAGGCGCCUCCUUUAAGCUCUCAUUAAGGAUAUUUUUGUCAUUUGGCAUGUAAUAGUAUAAAUAGACCAUUUUCUCACUCUUUUCAUUAGAUUUUGAUGAAUUGAAAUUGAGUGUUACUCUUAGUGUAGUUUCUUUCCUUAGUGUAGGGCUUGAAAAAUCCAUCUUAGCGUAGGUCUUAGAAAAGACAUCAAAACUUGAGAGAUUAAUACAUUUGAUGGAUUUCAGUUGUGUUGAUCAAUUGGCAAGAAAGGUGUGAUUGAGGAGUAUGAGUCUUUUGGUCCACCUAAGAGGAAGGUUUGAGCUUCUAUUGGUGAGGUGUGAUUGAUGGUUUGAUACAUCAUCUUUUGUUAAUCACUUGGAAGGAGUAAAGGUCUUUCUAUCUAUCUUUACUUUAUGCAUCUCUUCUUCAUCUCCCUUUCUUCUAGUUACUGUUUUUUAUUUCUUUAGGCCUUAAUUUCAUUUUAGUAGUUGAUUUUUAUAUUAUUUGGUAUCAAAGUCUUGCUUAGGGUUGUUACCACAACUCUAAUCCUUUGUUUUAGUGUCCUUAUUAAGAAAAUCUCAACAAAAAAGAGUCAAAAAAUCUGAAAAUCUCAAAAAAAUUGUGUGUUGUCUUGUUGUUGGUAGUAGAUCCGAUUUCACAACUUAGAUCUACUAAUUUUUAGCUUUUUUUGAUAGUUUCUUGUGUUAGAUUCUUGUUCUCUAACACCUAGGGAGUCUAGAUCUACACUUGGAACAAAAUUUGGUUGAGUUUAAGCUAAGAACCUCCAUGAAUAUGGUGUUUUUUUGAAGUUUUUAAGCUAGAUUCGAAAUUGGGCUUGUGAUUUAGACGAGUUUUAUGGUUGAUUUUUACAUAUUUGAGUUAAACUUGGCCUAAGGAACCUAGAUCUACAAAAAAAAUCCAGAUUUGGAGUUCAUUUGGUUAGGAGUCAAACUUUGGUCAACUUUUAAAUAUUCAUCUUGUUCUUUCAUGUUCAUCAAGUCUUGCUAAGGAAGAAUAUUCAAAGAGCGUGUUUGAUCCAAAAAAGGAGAAGGAAGAGAGUGUACUUGGUGUUUGUGAAAGAAUAUUCCUUGGCAUAUUCAUCGUCAUCCAAAAGAAAGAAGAGACAAAGGGAAUAAUCAAGUACAAUUGAAAGUACAGUGGGGGACCAAUCCAUUUUGAAUUCAUUUGAAGCUCCAAAAGGGUUCCAAACCUUCAAUUUUUCCCUCCCAAAUGAAAAUUCUUCUUCUCCAAGGGUGUUCUAGGCUGAGACUUGAAAAUUUUGGGUGAAAAUUUUUGAAAACUCAACGUCCAAUCAUUGAAUGCCACGCAUCAUAGCUCAACGGCCAAAUUAAGUUCUUAGUUAGAUUUUCUAGUUUCUAAUUGUUGUUUCUAGUUUCAAUUUUGUUGGUUCUAUCACUAAUUAGCAAGCUAGUAACUACCUACUAGUUUGGUAACUAGAUUAAAGUCCGUUUGUUUUGCGUCUUCAAUUUUUUUGUGUUUUUCUCGUUUUCAAAUUCGUAGUGGUUUGUUGGUUCAAGUCCGUACAUCAUUUUAUUUGAGUCAUAUCAAACAAAAAUUGAUUCUGGACCAAAUAAUAUUCACCACUCAUUCACUUGCCGAGUAUUGCCAAGUUUUCAAUACUUAUGAAACUAAGUGUGAGGUAAGAAACGAGUGUGAGAGUGGUGAGGCCUUUUUCGUUUUGUAGGUUUUUGCCUUUGCUGUUUUUUUUGUUCUUUUAGGUACAUUUGUCAUGGGAUCCGAAGGUACUACUUCCCAACCUUUGAGAAAUUAUGCUAUUGGAGCCUUGAUGGCUCGACUUGAGGCCUUGGCCCGAAAAAUAGAUGAUAAUAAUGAUGUUUUAAGGAGUGAUAUAGAUGCUUUUAGGUGAGAUAUGAAGGGUUAUGUGGGAUUAAUGAGGGGUGACAUGACUAGAAUAAAAAUGGGGGUUGAUAGACUAUGUGUACCAAACCCUCCACAAUUGAACCAAGUCCAACAAAAAGGACUUGGUACUCAAAUUCUACCCCAAAAUCCGAACUACUAAAUCCCAAACCCAAUUAACCAAAGACCUUAUCCUUCUCUCCAAAUGCCAUAAAGCCGAAAUCUUCCCAUCCAAAUAGAAGAAGGAGAGGAGUUAUAAACCCAAGAUGAUGAGGCUAAGCCUCAAAAUGGAGAGAAAAUGGAUGGUGAGAUACAAGGAGGAUGUGAAGGAAGGAGGAAAAAGGAAAGGGAAGCCACAGGUAGUGAAAUUAAAAGGGAAAAAUAACACUUGAUUGUGGAUCUUGUCCACAAAGGAUCCUUGAUAUUCACUAACCCAAAAACUAGAAUUUUUCCUAGUAUUUUAUCUUCUCAUGUGCAGGUUCAAGACCCUAGAAUUCUCAAGGAGAAGCCCAAGGAAGUUCCCUUCAAGCCCUUGGCCGAAAAUCCCAAUUUUGGGAUAAGUGAUGAAGAAGUGAGUUCAAAGGGAAACCUUGAGAUAUUCCCUUGUAAUGUUGAGCAUGAAGGCUGCCAUGAUGCAAAACCAAUUGAAUAACACACUUUCCAUGAUCUACAAGGUAACAAAGCUAUCUUCUACACCCCCAGAAACUUGAAUUGUUAUGAUGUGGCUAGUAGUGGCCAAAGUGGUGUAGUUUCAGAUUUGCUUAGUGAAGAAGUGUAUGAAUCUUCCUUUUGUGAUACUCUUGGUGUUGUUAGGUUGCAUAAGUACCAAACUCUUGUUGUGAGUACGCAAACACUAGUUGAUCCUUUAGAUGACAAAAUCAAUUCUUUUCGUAAGAAUGAUUUGUGUCCAUCUAGUGCUAGCACUUAUAACUUGAAUAAGGUUUCAUUACCAAGUGACAAGAGUAUUUACACACUAGUUGAACCUUGUAAAAACCAAGGUGAGUCUACGUUGGUAUGUGAGUUGCUAACAACUAGUGAGGGUGUGCAAAAUAAUCAAUCGGGUGAAGUUUACCUUGAAUUGCUUGAAUAUGUAAGAAACCCGGAUUGUGAUUGUUCUUGUGAACAUGUUUUUGUGUGUGUUCCCUUUGUUGCUCAUGGUGAUUUAUAUCUAUGUGGGGAUUACUCUCUUAAAAUAGAAAGUGGUGCAUGCUUAGAAAUUCCAUCUAUUUCUUCUUUGUGGGUUUCCUAUGUUAAGCAUCCUAGUGGUGAUGGACUUGGAACUAGUGAGUACUUGCAUAAGAGCGCCAUAGUUGAAGUUGAUUUGUGUGAUACUUUUCUCUACUCUCUAUUUGCCUUUGAUGAUAUGUAUGCUAUUGUAGAGAGUAUGUCUUUUAGAUUGGGCGAAGCCUAUGGGGAGAAAGAGUGUUGUCUAGAUCCAUGUCUAAGUUCCAUUUGGCCUUGGUGCCAAAUAUCGAUAUGAUGAUGCUGGCCCACCCAACUUGUUACUUCGUCUACAUGACAAGCAAAGUAUUAUUCUUGAAAACCCGAGGGCAAAUGUGUCAUUGUCGUUUUGGGAUAAUACUUCUAAAUGUGCAUCCUUUCUUGACACAUUUGUGCUUGAAUUGAAUGAAUCCCAACUUGUGGAUGCCAAAUUGAUGUUUAACUUGAAAGAAGGAAGUCAUAUGUGUUUAAAUGACUUGAUUCCAACCUUAUGUGCUAAACCUAUUGAAUCAAUUAGCAUUCUUAUAGAUGAUAGCACCUUGGAUGAUGCCUUUACACUUGAUGCCUUCCUAUACUACCUCUUUUCUUAUGAUGAUAUCCAUGCAAGUCUUGUAUUUGUUUUAUGUAGGGGUAGGACAUUUGUUUGUUGGUCUACUUGGAGUUACAAUGCUAUAUGACUUUUGUGGACCUUUGUAGUUUCCUUACCUCUUGAUGCUUGCCUUAGUCGUGUCCUUUGUGAUGUUUGUGGUAGGUGUUUCCUGAUCAUAACAAAUGAUAGUUAGUUGUAUUUCAAAUGUGUAUCUCCCUGGAGUGUUUCUUUGAACUUGUCUGUUGAAAACCAUGACAUUAACCUUGUUCAUAGUGACCUUGUAUAUAGCAUAGUUAUGUGUAAUGUCUUGGAUAAUUGUGAGUUGGAUCCCUAAGUAAAAGGGAUGAUUAGUCUCGGCUUAUGCCCUUGGUUACUUCGACCCUUUGAUCUCGGUGCAUUCUUGAAGUAUGGGAGGGAUAGCCUCGGAUUAUGUCCAUCCAUUUUUUAUAUUGAUCCUAUUAACUUUCUUUGUGUUAUUUAUGCUAAGUCUUUCAUGUCACAAACAAAGGACCCAUGGAUGUAUGUCAAGUGUGAGCAACCUUGGCUUAUCUAUAUAACUUGUGGUACUAAUGCUAACCUCCUCCCUUGAGGAUUGUGUGAUUGUUUUCCUUUUCUUUGGUUUUACAGGGUGCGAAUUUGAGGACAAAUUCCUUUUAAGAUGGAGUGGAUGAUACAAGCAUGAAGAGCACAAAGAGUACAAGGUCUUGUAGAAGGUUCAAGUUUCAGUUUUUUCAAGUGAUUGAAGACCUUUUUGAAGCCUUUUCAAAACCUUGUCCAAGUGAAGAAAGAAAGAGGGUUCCCAUACUCAAGAAGAACCUCAAGUGAAGGCUAAUAAAGACAUUUUACACUCCAAAAUGACACUCAAGAGGCGCCUCCUUUAAGCCCUCAUUAAGGACAUUUUUGUUAUUUGGCAUGUAAUAGUAUAAAUAGACCAUUUCUUCACUCUUUUCAUUAGAAUUUGAUGAAUUGAAAUUGAGUGUUACUCUUAGUGUAGUUUCUUUCCUUAGUGUAGGGCUUGGAAAAUCCAUCUUAGUGUAAGUCUUGGAAAAUACAUCAAAACUUGAGAGAUUAAUAUAUUUGAUGGAUUUCACUUGUGUUUAUCUAUUAGCAAGAAAGGUGUGAUUGAGGAGUAUGAGUCCUUUGGUCCACCUAAGAGGAAGGUUUGAGCUUCUAUUGGUGAGGUGUGAUUGAUGGUUUGAUACACCAUCUUUUGUUAAUCACUUGGUAGGAGUAAAGGUCUUUCUAUCUAUCUUUACUUUAUGCAUCUCUUCUUCGUCUCCCUUUCUUCUAGUUGCUGUUUUUUAUUUCUUCAGUCCUUAAUUUCGUUUUAGUAGUUGAUUGUUGUAUCACAACCUAAAUCAAAUGACAAGUAGACAGGCAUCAUCACAUAACAAAUUCUCGAUGAAUCAAUAAUACAAUAAUAACAGGUCAAACAGUGCUCACAAACAAGCGACAUAACCAUCAAGAGUAUCAACCAUACUGUAAACAUCCACAGAAUCAACACAAAUAUGUACACACAUGCUAUGGGACUUAUUUUUUCCCAAAUAGUCAGGACCUGUAGGGAAUAAUUUAUGUUCAUGUACCGUACCGGCGUGGUAUCCGAUCCAAUAUAAAUAUAAAUGAACUGGCGUGGUACCCGACCCAACAUAAAUAUAAAUGAGUAUUAUCAAUAUCAAUUUACACAACCUCACAUCAUACAACACAAUGUACCAUGUUUUCAAGUACACUUAAAGUCAUAAGACAAUUCCAUCAAGUCAAUUUCCAAUAAACAUUUAUACACGAAUCAACAAUCCAAACAUCAACGAUUUCAAGCAUGUUCGAAUACCAAUCCACAAGUAUGCAAUUUAGGAGCAUACCCACAAUUAAGUCGAGUCUAAACUCUAAUUAAACCGUAACCUACCUCAACCGAAGAAUUCAAGUGCAAGCUAUUUUGCAAGGGCCUUGCCCUUCCGUUAAGCUUCUGAAUGAUUUAAAUCUGUCCAAACAUAUAAUCCCCAUAAGAGUACUAAUUUAACGACAUCCGUUUUAUAAAUGCUUACUCUAAAAAUUCUAAACCUGAUAAGUAAAUGUCAUAUUAUAACUAACUUUAUCCAAUCUCCUGUACAUCUCUCACUAUUAAAUCAAUUCAACCUAAUUGUAAUAGUAUAACAACGAAUAGAUUUCCAAUCAAUAUCAUGACAUUCCUAGUUGGUAACUGCAAAAGAACACUUGUUCCAAAAGAAGCUUCCCUUGGGAUUGUUUUCCCAGGCAAUUUUCCUUUUUUGCGCUUAUACGUUUUUCUCUGUAUUUGAUGUCAAGUUGGAUUGGAUUUCUCCCUUGGGUGGACUCCAUAUGGGGAUAACUUGUAACUUGUAAAGUCUAGGAAUAAAUUCUUAUUAAGUAAUCGGUAAGCUGAUAUGCCAUUACUGGGUUCCAUCCUAUGGCAAUUAUUGACUCGGGAAUGACCGAAGUCGCUUCACUUCAAAGUAGAGGUUUGUGGUAACGGUGGACGGAUAGAUCAGGUCCAAGGCCUAAGUGCCUAGGUUGAAGUGGUAAAAGUCGCUGCCGAUGGAGUUCCAGCUGCCAGAGUCUUCGAUAAGAAAGAGGCGUCUGAGUAAACAGAAGUGAGAUCUUUCUCUUAUAUUAUAUAGGCUAUUUUGCCUUGAAAUCCCAUUCUAUCCAUCUUAUUCUUCUGUGUAAGUAAAGACUAGCAGGGCAUUCUCUUGCAUCAAUUCCUCUCUCAAUCACGAUGAAAUCUAAGAGCUUGCUCGAAGACAACCUUUACUUUUUAGUAGUAACCUUUCCUAUCCUUUAGGCGGGGAUAGGUUCAUAGGAGGACUUAGUUACAUAGGAAGGAAAGGCUUAAACUAGAAGGGAUAAGAAAGGGAAUUACACUAUAUCUUGGCAAUGGCACUCCAACAAGCUCGGUAGGGAGAGAAAGAAGAGAAGGAGAAGAGGAAGUACGACGAAAAGGGUAUGAAAUAGGUUUCUUGUAGCGAUUGUGAUUGCUUAUUUGGUUGGGAUUACCAGCCUGGCCAAAGAAUAAGAUAAAAAGAAGAGUUCCCGCCUACGACUACAUGCCCAUUAAGAGAUAUACCUGGAGUCGAGCUAACUGCAUAGGCAGAGGGGAACUUUCCUAAAAAGCCUAAUAGUAAUUAACCGCAUUAGAAACAACGAAUCACACUCUGAAAUGAGGUUCCCUCCCAAUAGAUGUCAGGAGGGAGCAAGGCGUGAUUGCUCUGUCAUCCUCCGACCGCCCCCCUUUCCACCUCGAAGUAGUGGUGUUGGUGUGUCUCGUACCAAUCAUUCCGGUCAAUCCCUUUCCUGAACCAUAGGUAAGGGAUGACAGGAGAUGGCCCCUAUAGCAAAAUAAGCCAGCCCCUCAUUUGAGAGAGUAAAUAGAAUAGUAUCGGGCUUAUGACAGUCUGACUUUUGAACGACUUAGCAACUACUAAGCUCCCGCCCACCCCCAACUAAUUAGGGUAAAGUGUUCAUUUAUACCUUCAACAGCACCGAGAUAUUGGCCCAUGACCAUGUUUACUUCAUCUUCAAGAGAAAGCAUCCUGGCUCUCAGGGCCUCAGGCAAGCCUGGAUCCUUUCCUACUUCCUUAGUGAUUCCAAGAAGAUGCUUCAACCCUGUUAAGUUUUAGCUGGCUAUCACGGUCUAAUAAAGAUUUCCAAUUUUGUUUUGGAAUAUUUUCAUUCGGGAUUAGAACGACCUAUAUUGUAAGGGAGGAGAGAAGGUAAACCAGGUUCCUUUGGUCGCCUUGCCCGUCUAGUCGAGUAGCUUUUGCUCCUUCCUACUUACUUUAUUAUAAUAUAAGCUUAAGCUGCUACGUGGCCUAUUGGGAGCUUUUUAGUCAUAGUGGGAGCUUUCGAAAAUCACUUAGCAGGUCAAGAUCAUAGGAAGAGGGAAGAACAAGGGGGAAGAUCUUAUUUAAAAGAAGACGAUUCCAAAAGAAAGUCAAAACGGGGAAUAGGAUGCCUUAAAGGUAAAUAAGAAAGAUCCUAAAUAAAAAAGAAAAUAGCUAUGAAACCGAUUACAAAAAUACCAGUUAUAGUACCUAUUAUCCAAAGAGGAAUCCUUCCAGUAGUAUCGGCCAUUUACCCCACUUCCCUCCAGAUUUCAUAAAGUGGUCAUGAUUGAGACACAAACAGCCUUGGAUAAUUGAAUUAUGAGAUGCUUCCGAACGAGCUAAGAGAAUCUUAUUUAUUCUCUUUCGUUUUGUUAAUUGAAGAAAUAAUUGGAAAAUCAAAAAGCAAGUACAAAAAUGAGUAAUAACCCCCUGGUACGAUGAAAUUCAACAUUUUGUUCGUUCGGGUUUGUCGGUGUUGAUUGUGUCGUAGCUCUAUAAUCCGGAUGUUCUUUAUCAUUGGAUGAACUAUUGAUAUUGAUCCCUAAAAAAAGAUGGUAGGUACAGCUAGGCCGUGAACAACCAACCAUCGUACUGUAAAAAUUGGAUAGGUUCGAUCUAUAGUCAUUAGGGCCUCCUAAAACGAUCGACUAAAUUCAUCGAGUUGUUCCAAAGGAUCAAAAUGGUCAAUUAUUAAUGAAAUUACUUGUCGGC